rnacentral:rRNA from 1 species
GUGGAUUAGAUACCCUAGUAGUCCUGGCCGUAAACGAUGGGCACUGGGUAGGGGGCUCGCCGAUGGGCUCCCUGCCGCAGCGAAAGCGUGAAGUGCCCCGCCUGGGGAGUAUGGUCGCAAGGCUGAAACUCAAAGGAAUUGACGGGGGCUCACACAAGCGGUGGAGUAUGUGGCUUAAUUCGAGGCUACGCGCAAAACCUUAUCCCAGGCUUGACAUGCACGGAUUAGCCGGCGGAAACGUCGGUGAGGCCGCAAGGUACAACGUGCACAGGUGCUGCAUGGCUGUCGCCAGCU